UGCCUACGGGACGCAGCAGUGGGGGAUAUUGCACAAUGGGGGGAACCCUGAUGCAGCGACGCCGCGUGGGUGAAGAAGCGUUUCGGCGCGUAAAGCCCUGUCAGCAGGGAAGAAGAAGGACGGUACCUGACCAAGAAGCCCCGGCUAACUACGUGCCAGCAGCCGCGGUAAUACGUAGGGGGCAAGCGUUAUCCGGAUUUACUGGGUGUAAAGGGGGCGCAGACGGCGAUGCAAGCCAGGAGUGAAAGCCCGGGGCCCAACCCCGGGACUGCUCUUGGAACUGCGUGGCUGGAGUGCAGGAGGGG
rnacentral:rRNA from 1 species